rnacentral:rRNA from 1 species
GUGCACCAGGCGCGAAUCAUUCGCAAUGGGCGAAAGCCUGACGAUGCGACGCCGUGUGAACGAAGAAGGCCCUCGGGUCGUAAAGUUCUUUCGCCUGGGAACAAGAGAGGAGGAUGAAUAAUCCUUUAAUUUGAGGGUACCAGGUAAAGAGGCACCGGCUAACUCCGUGCCAGCAGCUGCGGUAAUACGGAGGGUGCAAGCAUUAAUCGGAUUUAUUGGGCGUAAAGGGCGUGUAGGCGGCCGUUCAAGUCUGUUGUGAAAUUCCGGGGCUCAACCCCGGAGCUGCAAUGGAAACUGGAUGGCUAGAGGAUAGGCGGAGAAAAUGGAAUUCCACAAGUAGCGGUGAAAUGCGUAGAUAUGUGGAGGAACACCGGUGGCGAAGGCGGUUUUCUAGCUUAUUCCUGACGCUGAGGCGCGAAAGCAAGGGGAGCAAACAGGAUUAGAUACCCCGGUAGUCCCUGAGACUACCAAGGCACACA